GCCCGGGUAGCUCAGUUGGUAGAGCGUGCACCCGUGUAUAGAGGUUUAUUCCUCUGCACAGAGGCCCAGGGUUCAAAUCUGACCUGGCA
rnacentral:tRNA from 1 species